GCCCGGAUGGCGGAAUUGGUAGACGCACGGGACUCAAAAUCCCGCGCCGCAAGGCGUGCCGGUUCGACCCCGGCUCCGGGCACCA
rnacentral:tRNA from 1 species